UUACAUUCUCCCAGCAGACCUUCUCACCCUGAAUAUUGAUUACCCUCCUGCUCAACCCUCCCAACUGCACAAUGCUGGGGACAUAGAAAGUGAUGGAUUGAUUGAUCUGUAUCCUCUGGAAAUACUGGCUCCUUGCUACAGAACUUAUACAGGAAAGAGGCUUAUCAACCAAGCAGCAAUCUCCUUCCUCAAAAAGUAGAUGGGAUUCAGAAUGGCAGAUGGCCUGAAGACAAUAUCUCCACUAUACACUAUAGCUGAGACAAAUAGAAAGAGGUGGCUGAAAAAGCCAUAGGCCUUCUCUGAAGGGGAGAGAUUGACUAAGAACCUCCUUAACCUAGUGUCUGUGAAUUUGAUUUUUAUAAUUUUUUUGAUAAUCAUAUCUCAAU
rnacentral:lncRNA from 1 species